AGUGAACGCUGGCGGUAGGCCUAACACAUGCAAGUCGAACGGCAGCACAGUAAGAGCUUGCUCUUACGGGUGGCGAGUGGCGGACGGGUGAGGAAUACAUCGGAAUCUACUUUUUCGUGGGGGAUAACGUAGGGAAACUUACGCUAAUACCGCAUACGACCUACGGGUGAAAGCAGGGGAUCUUCGGACCUUGCGCGAUUGAAUGAGCCGAUGUCGGAUUAGCUAGUUGGCGGGGUAAAGGCCCACCAAGGCGACGAUCCGUAGCUGGUCUGAGAGGAUGAUCAGCCACACUGGAACUGAGACACGGUCCAGACUCCUACGGGAGGCAGCAGUGGGGAAUAUUGGACAAUGGGCGCAAGCCUGAUCCAGCCAUACCGCGUGGGUGAAGAAGGCCUUCGGGUUGUAAAGCCCUUUUGUUGGGAAAGAAAAGCGGCAGGUUAAUACCCCGCUGUUCUGACGGUACCCAAAGAAUAAGUACCGGCUAACUUCGUG
rnacentral:rRNA from 1 species